rnacentral:rRNA from 1 species
CCUACGGGUGGCAGCAGUGGGGAAUUUUGGACAAUGGGGGGAACCCUGAUCCAGCGACGCCGCGUGAGUGAAGAAGUAUUUCGGUAUGUAAAGCUCUAUCAGCAGGGAAGAAAGAAAUGACGGUACCUGACUAAGAAGCCCCGGCUAACUACGUGCCAGCAGCCGCGGGAAUACGUAGGGGGCAAGCGUUAUCCGGAUUUACCGGGGGGAAAGGGGGCGUAGACGGCGAUGGAAGUCUGCAGGGAAAGGGGGGGGGCCAACCCCCCGGACUGCUUUGGAAACUGUAUGGCUGGAGUGCAGGAGAGGUAAGUGGAAUUCCUAGUGUAGCGGUGAAAUGCGUAGAUAUUAGGAGGAACACCAGUGGCGAAGGCGGCUUACUGGACUGUAACUGACGUUGAGGCUCGAAAGCGUGGGGAGCAAACAGGAUUAGAUACCCGAGUAGUC